ACGAACGCUGGCGGCGUGCCUAAUACAUGCAAGUCGAGCGGACCGAACAGGAGCUUGCUCUUGUUCGGUUAGCGGCGGACGGGUGAGUAACACGUGGGUAACCUGCCCGUAAGACCGGGAUAACUCCGGGAAACCGGAGCUAAUACCGGAUAACACCGAAGACCGCAUGGUCUUUGGUUGAAAGGCGGCUUCGGCUGCCACUUACGGAUGGGCCCGCGGCGCAUUAGCUAGUUGGUGAGGUAACGGCUCACCAAGGCGACGAUGCGUAGCCGGCCUGAGAGGGUGACCGGCCACACUGGGACUGAGACACGGCCCAGACUCCUACGGGAGGCAGCAGUAGGGAAUCUUCCGCAAUGGACGAAAGUCUGACGGAGCGACGCCGCGUGAGCGAAGAAGGUCGUCGGAUCGUAAAGCUCGGUUGUUAGGGAAGAAGAAGCGUCGUUCGAACAGGGCGGCGCGGUGACGGUACCUAACGAGAAAGCCCCGGCUAACUACGUG
rnacentral:rRNA from 1 species